rnacentral:rRNA from 1 species
UACGUAGGGUGCAAGCGUUGUCCGGAUUUAUUGGGCGUAAAGAGCGUGUAGGCGGCCAGGUAGGUCUGCUGUGAAAACUCGAGGCUCAACCUCGAGAUGUCGGCGGAAACCAUCUGGCUAGAGUCCGGAAGAGGAAAGUGGAAUUCCCGGUGUAGCGGUGAAAUGCGCAGAUAUCGGGAAGAACACCCGUGGCGAAGGCGGCUUUCUGGGACGGUACUGACGCUGAGACGCGAAAGCGUGGGGAGCGAACAGG